rnacentral:rRNA from 1 species
UACGGAGGGUGCAAGCGUUAUCCGGAUUCACUGGGUUUAAAGGGUGCGUAGGUGGGCAGGUAAGUCAGUGGUGAAAUCUCCGGGCUUAACCCGGAAACUGCCAUUGAUACUAUCUGUCUUGAAUAUCGUGGAGGUAAGCGGAAUAUGUCAUGUAGCGGUGAAAUGCUUAGGUAUGACAUAGAACACCAAUUGCGUAGGCAGCUUACUACACGAUCAUUGACGCUGAGGCACGAAAGCGUGGGGAGCAAACAGG